GAAUAUUGGACAAUGGGGGGAACCCUGAUCCAACCAUGCAGCGUGUGUGAAGAAGGCCUUUUGGUUGUAAAGCACUUUAAGCCAGGAGGAGGCUACUCUAGUUAAUACCUUGAGCUAGUGAACGUUACUCGCAGAAUAAGCACCGGCUAACUUUGUACCAGCCGCCGCGGUAAUACAGAGGGUGCAAGCGUUAAUCGGAUUUACUGGGCGUAAAGCGCGCGUGGGUGGCGAAUUAAGUCAAAUGUGAAAUCCCCGAGUUUAACUUGGGAAUUGCAUUCGAUACUGGUUGGCUAGAGUAUGGUAGAGGAUGGUAGUAUUCCAGGUGUAGCGGUGAAAUGCGUAGAGAUCUGGGGGAAUACCGAUGGCGAAGGCAGCCAUCUGGCCUAAUACUGACACUGAUGUGCGAAAGCAUGGGGAGCAAACA
rnacentral:rRNA from 1 species